rnacentral:rRNA from 1 species
GUCUAUGGUCAUACCACCCUCAAUGUGCCCAAUCUCAUCUGAUGUUGGAAGAUAAACAGGGUCAGUCCUGGUUAAUGUUUGGAUGGGAGAAAGAUAGGUUUGGGCAUCAACACU